rnacentral:rRNA from 1 species
UACGUAGGGUGCGAGCGUUAAUCGGAAUUACUGGGCGUAAAGCGUGCGCAGGCGGUGAUGUAAGACCGAUGUGAAAUCCCCGGGCUUAACCUGGGAACUGCAUUGGUGACUGCAUUGCUGGAGUAUGGCAGAGGGGGGUGGAAUUCCACGUGUAGCAGUGAAAUGCGUAGAGAUGUGGAGGAACACCGAUGGCGAAGGCAGCCCCCUGGGCCAAUACUGACGCUCAUGCACGAAAGCGUGGGGAGCGAAACAAGG